GUAGGGAAUCUUCCACAAUGGACGAAAGUCUGAUGGAGCAACGCCGCGUGAGUGAAGAAGGUCUUCGGAUCGUAAAACUCUGUUGUUAGAGAAGAACGUGCAUGAUAGUAACUGAUCAUGUAAUGACGGUAUCUAACCAGAAAGCCACGGCUAACUACGUGCCAGCAGCCGCGGUAAUACGUAGGUGGCAAGCGUUGUCCGGAUUUAUUGGGCGUAAAGGGAACGCAGGCGGUUUUUUAAGUCUGAUGUGAAAGCCUUCGGCUUAACCGAAGAAUAGCAUUGGAAACUGGAAGACUGGAGUGCAGAAGAGGAGAGUGGAAUUCCAUGUGUAGCGGUGAAAUGCGUAGAUAUAUGGAGGAACACCAGUGGCGAAAGCGGCUCACUGGCUCGAUACUGACGCUGAGGUGCGAAAGCGUGGGGAGCAAACAGGAUUAGAUACCCUAGUAGUCC
rnacentral:rRNA from 1 species